GAUGAACGCUGGCGGCGCGCCUAACACAUGCAAGUCGAACGGUUAAAGCACCUUUUAGGUGUGUAUAAAGUGGCGAACGGCUGAGUAACACGUGGGCAACCUGCCCCCCUCUUGGGGAUAGCCUCGGGAAACCGAGGAUAAUACCCGAUACUUCAAUGUGGCCGCAUGACGACAUUGAGAAAGCUUUUGCGGAGAAGGAUGGGCCCGCGGCCUGUUAGCUUGUUGGUGGGGUAGAGGCCUACCAAGGCAAUGAUGGGUAGCUGGGUUGAGAGACCGACCAGCCAGAUUGGGACUGAGACACGGCCCAGACUCCUACGGGAGGCAGCAGUGGGGAAUCUUGCACAAUGGGCGAAAGCCUGAUGCAGCGACGCCGCGUGCGGGACGAAGGCCUUCGGGUUGUAAACCGCUUUCAGCAGGGACGAGGCGAAAGUGACGGUACCUGCAGAAGAAGCCCCGGCUAACUACGUGCCAGCAGCCGCGGUAAUACGUAGGGGGCAAGCGUUAUCCGGAUUCAUUGGGCGUAAAGCGCUCGUAGGCGGUCUGUUAGGUCGGGAGUUAAAUCCGGAGGCUCAACCUCCGCCCGCUCCCGAUACCGGCAGACUUGAGUUUGGUAGGGGAAGGUGGAAUUCCUAGUGUAGCGGUGGAAUGCGCAGAUAUUAGGAAGAACACCAGUGGCGAAGGCGGCCUUCUGGGCCAUAACUGACGCUGAGGAGCGAAAGCUAGGGGAGCAAACAGG
rnacentral:rRNA from 1 species